AUUCGCUGCUCGCACAGAAAUACAGGGCUGAAUCCCCUGGCUCAGUGGACUUGAUUUCCAGGCUGCAGGGUAUCUAGGACUCUGGGUGACCUGGGUGUCCAUGGAGCCUGUGGAGGAAAGAGACAGAAACUGGAGAAAAAGCCCAGGAGGCAGACUGAUAUUACAGCCACGGGAGAAAGUCCAGAAACGGAAUCCAAGAAGCUUACCUGCUCCCCAGAAAAAAAGGGCCACACAGCAGAGAAGUUUGAAGCACAUGGUGGGCUCAGGGGAAAAGCAAUGGCACACGGCCUUUGCUUUAAGGCUUCCCCGUCCCCAUCAGAACCUCCUUGUGACGCGAUUGCUUGCCGUUGCCUUCACAGCCACUGUGUGUACGAGUCCAAAAUAUUUCAUAGGACGUGGGAGGGCAGGGAGAGCUGCUGAAAACCACUAGGGAUAUUCUUCCAACCAGCACCGAAAGUACCUCACCUGAGGUACCAAAAGUAUCCGACAGCUUCUUAGAUGGAGGAAGAUCUAUGCUUGCUCCUUAGGCAUUGGAGGUUAUUUUACAAGAAGACCCACAUCACCCCCUAGUGGUCAAAGGGGCAAAUUCGUCAGCCUACCUCUGAUCCCUCCCUGCCUUCACCUGCCAGGAGGUGAGUGGGGGGUUGCCGGUUCCACUUUGUGAAGGAGCAGCCAAGCACCUCCAGUAUUAGAGGGGGACUAGGACCCAAGCAGCCCUUGGUGUGGUAGCCUGCCUCCAUACCGCACAGAAUUGUUACUAGUAAUUGCUACACAUUUACUCAGUUAUUAAUCUAAUAUUGUUUGAUGCUUUAUUGGUAUAAUUUGCCUUCUCAACCUUUUCUAGCCGCCAUUUAAGUGCGAGUGCUCCUUCAGUUUCUGUCCUAGAUUCUCUUCUCUUUGUACAUUCCAUCAUCAAGGAUCGUAUGCUUUCAUUCUUCCAGUUCUGCUAAAUGUCCCAAAGUUUUAGCUCUCUCCCGUCUCAUCUUGUACUCACCCUCUUCCUCCCUCUUUGCUCAUGCCUCCCUACUAACUGCACCUUUCAUUAAUUACACCAAUUGCUUUCCUAGCUGAAAAAUGUUGCACCGACUCUUCCAGGCAUGCCUGUCGGUUCAUUAUCCCCAGUUCCACUUAAUUAACUCCGGCUCAUCUUUAGGAUGUCAUCUUAAACACGACGUCCUCUAGAAUCUGCUCUGUGGCUCUGUUAGGUCUCCCUGUGUCAUAGGCAGAGACACCUGGGUCCACACAAUACCCUGCCCGUGCCUGACUGAUACAAGGGCAGAGACACCGGAUCGCAACACAUAUUUUUUUCCCAUGACUUUGAAACUUUAACCUAGACAGGAGGUAGUGGUUGCUGAGGCUUUUUAUGCCUCUUUCAGAAAGAAGAUGUAUGAGCUCCUGUUGCUUAGGAACACGGGGCUAGGGUUUCUGUUCUCAUUAAACUGCAGUCAGUUGUCUCUUUUCUCAUCCUCUGAGCUCAUCAGGGCAUCCAGGCAAGCAACCAAUUCCCUUUAAUAAGUUAAGUUAGUGGGUUAGAAAAGGGGCCCUUUCCUCCUGUCUCGGAUUUACUUUCCUUUUAUUUUUGAACAGCUUUAUUGAGACAUCAUUGAUGCACAGAGAGCUGCACAUAUAAAAUGUAUAGAGUUUAAUGAGUUUGGAGAUAGGCAUACACCCACGAAUCCAGCACCACAAUGAAAGUAACAGAUGUAUGUGUUAGCUCCAAAA